GAUGAACGCUGGCGGCGUGCCUAAUACAUGCAAGUCGAGCGAACAGAUGAGGAGCUUGCUCCUCUGACGUUAGCGGCGGACGGGUGAGUAACACGUGGAUAACCUACCUAUAAGACUGGGAUAACUUCGGGAAACCGGAGCUAAUACCGGAUAAUAUAUUGAACCGCAUGGUUCAAUAGUGAAAGACGGUUUUGCUGUCACUUAUAGAUGGAUCCGCGCCGCAUUAGCUAGUUGGUAAGGUAGCGGCUUACCAAGGCAACGAUGCGUAGCCGACCUGAGGGGGUGAUCGGCCACACUGGAACUGAGACACGGUCCAGACUCCUACGGGAGGCAGCAGUAGGGAAUCUUCCGCAAUGGGCGAAAGCCUGACGGAGCAACGCCGCGUGAGUGAUGAAGGUCUUCGGAUCGUAAAACUCUGUUAUUAGGGAAGAACAAAUGUGUAAGUAACUAUGCACGUCUUGACGGUACCUAAUCAGAAAGCCACGGCUAACUACGUG
rnacentral:rRNA from 1 species